rnacentral:tRNA from 2 species
GGGGAGGUCGCAUAGCCUGGUCGAGUGCGGUCGCCUGCUAAGCGACUAGGGGGGCUAAAACCUCCCUCGCGGGUUCAAAUCCCGCCCUCCCCG